UGUGUUUUGAGAUUUUCUUUAAAUUCAAAGUAUUAUUCACUAAUUACCAAUUAAUUAAUAUUCACUUUAACCAAACAACAAAAACAUUUGAAUCGUUUGAAUGCCACUUAAUCUUUACUAAUCGAAAAAUAUGAAACAGUACAAUCUGUUUCAGCGGUAUCCGUAACUCCUUUAACUACCUCAAAAUGAGCAUUCUUAUGCAGUUGCAAGUUUGUAAAAAUAUUGUAAUUCUGUUUUAGAAUUUUUAAUUACAUAUUAUUAAACCAAGCGCAUCAUCAAUUGUAUUGUACCUCUGUAUAAACCAGCCGCGGUAGUAUUUUUCGAUAUAAGAUACAAGUAACGAAUGUCUUAUAUGCAUUAUAUGUGCCCUAUGUCUUAUAGCAAUGGAAUGGUUAAACAAGAACAAGAGAUAUUACAAUGAUCAACGCGAAUUUAAAUUUGCGAUAUGUAUUAGAUGAUCUUUGUAGAAUGAUCCAUCCUAAACAAACAUCUGAAAAAUAUAUAGUCCUUCUUGGAGCAUUCAUCUUUUACUGUUGAUAUUCUUUUCUAACUUCAAGUAAAAAAAAGAAAAAAAGAAAAUAUGGUUUGUUCCAGUUACGUGACUGAUUUUGUAGGCGAUAUUUUUCUUAAGCUAGACUUGCUACCUAAAGAAAAAAUUAUUUACUAGCUAUAUUUACUAGCUAGAUUUACCAGAGCCAAGAUAGCAAUUAAAUUCAAGCACCGAUGACAAUAAUGUCACACCUACGAAAAGAUUCUCUUUUGUUAUUAGUUGCUUCCGAAAAAAAUUUAUUGCAUCGCAUAAUUGACAGUUUUUCCAUAAAUAUUCUACACAUAUGUAUGAGAUACCGCCUUAACGUGAUUUAUAUAAUUAUAUAUUGCAAUACCUUUUAGUCAUAUAGGGAUCUUCAAUUAACUAUGUUAAUUAUAUGACAAUCUUAAGGGUAUUUAAAUAUUCAUAUUUAAUUCUUUAAUCAGCACUCUUUAUUUUAACAUCCCGUUAAACAUACUGAGGUUCAUCGUAUAUUAUUGCCUUCUGUCAUGAGGUUUCGGCAUUCACGUACACUCUUCAGCACUCGACAUCUCACACACACACACAUCCCUACACGAACUUGUUCCACUACUUUAGGCGUUACACAACAUACACGGUAGAAAUUAUUUUUUUUGUUUUUUACUUACUAAAAAAUGUGAAAAUCGUUUAAAACAUUGUUUUUUGUAGAUUUUAUUAUCAAUAUUUUCUUUAAAUGAAACUAUGCACUAGUCAAAGUCAACUCAAUUUCUUUUAAAUGGAACUAUAUAUUAAAAAUAUAUAUUAUAUAUUACAAAUGUAUUGUAUAUUAAUAUAUUAAUAUGUUGGGUAAUAUAUUAAAUAAUAAGUUAUUAACUUAUUUAUGUUAAAAAAUCAUUGGUUUAACAAAUAUUUUAACUUUUAUUUUGUAAAAUUAAUCGUACGAAAGACAGGCCAAGAUGUAAGACACGCUUUAUUAUUUGUUUUCUUCGUCCAUUAUGCGAUAACAUUUUAUGUACAAAAUAAACAUUGAAAUAUAUGUGCUAAACUAAUGACUUUUCGAUAUAUAUAUAUAUAUAGGUUAAUAGCUUUUUAUGGGGAUGCCAAGUAAGAUCAAUUAAUAUAUUAAAAGAAUUAUAUAUGCUUCUAUUAAAAAAAAUUGACUUAGUUUUCACAUAUCCUUUACGCUUCCACUUGCAAGAAAACUGCUAAUACCAAAUUAUGUCCACCUCAAAAUUUAACUUUUGUUGGGACACUGUGUACUUUUAUUACUGUGGACUUAUUUCAUUUUUCAAUUGUCCAUACAUUUCCAUGCAUUACGUCAAUAUGACUUCAUUAAUGAAAAAUUAGUUUUUUUUUAUUAAGAGUAAUAUUCUUGCAUGAAUAUACUAACAUCUAAGAUACAUAUUAUUAUAGAAAAGAACCAUAUGGCAACAUUUAUAUAUAAAUAUACAAUAUUUAUAUAGAAUUAUUACUAAUAUUGUGAGUUACGUUCCAUAAAUGAUCGGUGUUACCAAUGUUUACAUAAAUUAAUCUAAUUGUAUUGUAUAGCUUGUAUUACAUUGUCUGUUUAUGGCUAUAGCUUUGAAUCGAUCGAGAUCAUCAAAAAAAUAGUCGCAACAUUGAAUUUGAUCUUAAUCUUGAAAUGUCAUUUCAAAAUUUUCUUGUUGGAUCAUACUUUUACUUAUCAUGUAGCACAAAAAUCUCAGAGGAACCAUGGGCUCCAACCCAACAGUUCUAUUGGACAAAAAUAUUGAAGUUUCAUGAAUUCUAUAUAAAACAUAUGUAUAUAAAAUUAUAUAUUAUAUACUAUUGUUGUAUGUAAAUCCCAGAUAUACAAUUCGAUAUCUUAUUUCUCCUUUUUUUCUUUUGUUUUGAAUUUGUGUAAUAGCCAUACCUGCGUGUCAACUUCUACAUGACCAUCACUGUUGUUUAAGUAGAACAGGAUUCACAUUUAAAUUUCUACAUUUUAUAUUCUGGCCAAGUCUUCCCCCAAGAUUACGCAUUGAUUAUUGACAAGGGAAAGCAUAUUAAAUUCAUCAUUUUAAUUGUUCAACGGAUUUAAUUCGUCCUCCUGAACUGAAAUGACCCACGGAACUGAUCCAACUAUAGGACAAAACAAUGAUCUGGAACUUACAGACAACACAUGAGCCAGAAGCAACAAAGAGCACGCUGAAGAAUUUUCCAACCACUUUUGUAACACAUAUACUCCACAUAAUAUUAACAACAGCAGCUCCAACUGUUAUACAGACUUAGAUGUGCAAAACACUAUUACCUUGACUGACAAGCACUACACCAUACCUAAUACAACAACACUAAAAAUUAGAAUCACAAUGAAGAAAACAAAAAACAAUAAUAUACCAUUAAUCAACGUAAUCAAAGGUAAAAUCUUGAAAAACUUUCCUCUAAAAGCAAUACGAUUAACGACAAUAAUAUUCAAUGCAAUAUUAAGAAUUCAAUAAUGUCCUAAUCUAUGGAAACUAGCGCAAAUCAUAAUGUCACCUAAGCCAGGCAAAAGCCCACACCAAACUGCAUUUUACAGGCUAACAUCACUAGUUCGUGCGUUUUCCAAAAUACUAGAGAAAAUAAUAUACAACCGCCUAAAACCAACAAUGGGGAAAGAAAAGUUAAUAGCAGAUUACCAAUUUGGAGUCAGAAACAAUCACUCUACUAUGAUAGAGCAUAUGCAAAGAACAAAUCCAUCAUUUACUCAAAUCAUAUCUAAGCAACGGAACCUUUGUAGUAAAAAUAAAGGACACAUAUUCUGAGGUUAAAGAAUCAAGGCAAAGGUACAGCAAGGAAGAGUCUUAGGACCAAUAUGAUACACACUAUACACGGCCAACAUACCAACAGCAAAAUACUGACAUUCGCGGACGACGUGGUUGUACUAGUCAGGCACACUAAUCCAGAAACAGUAGCCACAUUACUACAAGAGCAUAUCACAAAAAUAGAAAAAUGACUGUAAGAAAAACAAACAAAAGCGAACCCCAGUAAAUGCAACCAUAUUACAUUUACACUACGAAAACAGAAACCAUGAAAUAUCCAAUUGAAUGGCACGCACAUAACACAAAC